AGGAUGAACGCUGGCGGCGUGCCUAACACAUGCAAGUCGAACGUCCUGUCUCGCAAGAGGCAGGGAGUGGCGGACGGGUGAGUACCACGUGGGUCAUCUACCGUGAGGUGAGGAAUACCGGCGAGAAAUCGCCGACAAGACCGCAUAGGCUCGAUGCAAGUCGAGCAAAGCUCUUUCGAGAGAGGGAGCGCCACACGAGGAGCCUGCGCCCGAUUAGCUAGCUGGUGGAGUAAUGGUUCACCAGGGCGACGAUCGGUAGCUGGUCUGAGAGGACGAUCAGCCACACUGGGAUUGAGAACGGCCCAGACUCCUACGGGGGCAGCAGUGAGGAAUUUCGUCAAUGGGGGCAACCCUGAACGAGCAACGCCGCGUGCAGGAAGAGGUUUUCGAUCGUAAACUGCUUUUCUCGGGAAGAGAACGGACGGUACCGAGGAAUCAGCCCGGCUAACUACGCGCCAGCAGCGCGU
rnacentral:rRNA from 1 species